rfam:Aedes aegypti strain Liverpool supercont1.718 genomic scaffold, whole genome shotgun sequence.
UGCCCAGCAACUCCUAUCCCUACCUCCUCGUGGUACUGGCCGGGGUACGAGUAACCUUGUGGAAGAUCGGGUAACCAACCCCCGGUGGGAACUUUGGUCGUAUGCUGACAGGGAAGG